GACGAACGCUGGCGGCGUGCUUAACACAUGCAAGUCGAACGAUGAAGAAAAGAAUCGAAGCUUCGGCAGAAAUUCAUUUCGGAUUAGUGGCAGACGGGUGAGUAACGCGUGAGCAACCUACCUCUUACAAAGGGAUAGCCUCGGGAAACCGGGAUUAAUACCAUAUAAUAUUGUGACGAAGCAUUUCGAUGCAAUCAAAGCUACGGCGGUAAGAGAUGGGCUCGCGUCCCAUUAACCGGAUGGUGAGGUAACGGCUCACCAUAGUGACGAUGGGUAACCGGCCUGAGAGGGUGAACGGUCACACUGGAACUGAGACACGGUCCAGACUCCUACGGGAGGCAGCAGUGGGGAAUAUUGCACAAUGGAGGGAACUCUGAUGCAGCGACGCCGCGUGAGUGAUGAAGGAAUUCGUUUCGUAAAACUCUGUUCUAUGGGAAGAAAAGGACUGUACCAUAGGAGAAAGCUCCGGCUAAAUACGUG
rnacentral:rRNA from 1 species